rnacentral:rRNA from 1 species
CGAACGCUGGCGGCGUGCUUAACACAUGCAAGUCGAACGGAAAGGCCCUGCUUUUGUGGGGUGCUCGAGUGGCGAACGGGUGAGUAACACGUGAGUAACCUGCCCUUGACUUUGGGAUAACUUCAGGAAACUGGGGCUAAUACCGGAUAGGAGCUCCUGCUGCAUGGUGGGGGUUGGAAAGUUUCGGCGGUUGGGGAUGGACUCGCGGCUUAUCAGCUUGUUGGUGGGGUAGUGGCUUACCAAGGCUUUGACGGGUAGCCGGCCUGAGAGGGUGACCGGCCACAUUGGGACUGAGAUACGGCCCAGACUCCUACGGGAGGCAGCAGUGGGGAAUAUUGCACAAUGGGCGGAAGCCUGAUGCAGCAACGCCGUGUGCGGGAUGACGGCCUUCGGGUUGUAAACCGCUUUCGCCUGUGACGAAGCGUGAGUGACGGUAAUGGGUAAAGAAGCACCGGCUAACUACGUG